GUAAUCGCAGAUCAGCAACGCUGCGGUGAAUACGUUCCCGGGCCUUGUACACACCGCCCGUCACGUCAUGAAAGUCGGUAACACCCGAAGCCAGUGGCCUAACCCUCGGGAGGGAGCUGUCGAAGGUGGGAUCGGCGAUUGGGACGAAGUCGUAACAAGGUAGCCGUACCGGAAUGUGCGGCUGGAUCAC
rnacentral:rRNA from 1 species